GCGUUCUCAUUGGGGAGCCAUUAGGCUGAGAUUGUUGUUAUUAUCUUGAUUGAUAUAGCAGAACCCAUUGAACCUGAACCAGGUAAUGCUGGCGUAGGAAUUGAGAAACGCACUGGU
rfam:Photobacterium iliopiscarium strain ATCC 51761 CFSAN029430_contig0007, whole genome shotgun sequence.